AGUGCCAGCAAACGCGAGAUGUACGGGAUCAGCGGCAGGUUCAGAACCAGCAGAACGAUAUUGCCGAUAUACAUCGAAAUGAUGACCGACCAGAACACGUCAGGCUGUUCGACGAACAGACGCGGACC
rnacentral:ncRNA from 1 species